AUGAACGCUGGCGGCGUGCUUAACACAUGCAAGUCGAACGGAAAGGCCCAAGCUUGCUUGGGUACUCGAGUGGCGAACGGGUGAGUAACACGUGGGUGAUCUGCCCUGCACUUCGGGAUAAGCCUGGGAAACUGGGUCUAAUACCGGAUAGGACCACAUUUUGGAUGGUGUGGUGGAAAGUUUUUCGGUGUGGGAUGAGCUCGCGGCCUAUCAGCUUGUUGGUGGGGUAAUGGCCUACCAAGGCGUCGACGGGUAGCCGGCCUGAGAGGGUGUACGGCCACAUUGGGACUGAGAUACGGCCCAGACUCCUACGGGAGGCAGCAGUGGGGAAUAUUGCACAAUGGGCGCAAGCCUGAUGCAGCGACGCCGCGUGGGGGAUGACGGCCUUCGGGUUGUAAACUCCUUUCGCUAGGGACGAAGCGUUUUUGUGACGGUACCUGGAGAAGAAGUACCGGCUAACUACGUG
rnacentral:rRNA from 1 species